rnacentral:lncRNA from 1 species
CAAGAGGCUGGUGCGGUGGCUCACGCCUGUAAUCCCAGCACUUUCGUAGGCCGAGGCGGGUGGAUCACCUGAGGUCAGGAGUUCGAGACCAGCCUGGCCAACAUGGUGAAACUCCGUGUCUACUAAAAAUAGAAAAAUUAGCCAGGCACGUUGGUGCGUGCCUGUAAUCCCAGCUACCCAGGGAGGCUGAGGGGGAAAAAUCACUUGAACCCGCAAGGUGGAGGUUGCAGUGAGUGGUGAUCAGUGUGGGCAACAGAGCGAGACUUCGUCUAAAAAAAAGGGCCAAGAAAGGAACUGGAGUUUGCUCUCCUCCUACCUAAGGUGAUGAAAUGCAGACAUGGCAUAUUUUCUGUGCCUUAUCCUACCUUGGAAUAAUCUAGCAAGUUGUUUUGGGUUGCCAAUCUUUUUCCUUCUAAUUUGGUGCUAAGGGAAUGGGCAGAAUAAGUACCCGUGCGAGUGCAGACGCCUCAGCUUUGUGCAGUUGCCAUUCGUGCCCCCAGAGUGUGGUCUCGUUGCAUCAUCACCAGGAGGACCCCUCUGCCCAAGGGUGCCCCAGGAAGCACACACUGAAGGCACGUGUGGAGCUCUGGUUAGCGUCGCUUCCGUUUCAGCCUGGGUCGCAGAGCGAGAACGUCUUGGGGAAAAAAGGAGCAACUUUAUGAUGAAUGUCCUGAUACGAAGAUCUUUAAGCUCUUUGGCUAUGCCUCCGUAGAAUAAAUUAUUUGAAGAAAGAUUGCAGAUUCAAAGGGUAAGCUCAUUAAUCAUUUAUAUAAUAUAUAAUGUAUAUAAUAUAUAAUACAAUACAUAAAAUUUGCAAGGGACUUUUAUGGACCCAAAGUUUAGAUGUGUUCAGUCCUUGGGCAUUGAACAGAGGCUAGCAUGUCUUUUAGAUACUAUACUUAAUUUUUACGUUCAAGCCGCGGGUACUCGAAAUUCUCUGGGGACCCACUCACAGUAAGUGCCUCAACCCCUCUAAACCCUGCAACAGGCUUCUAUCCCCCAAACCUCUUAGGAGAACUUCCUUUUCGGUGGGGAGCAAAGAAGGAAACAAGCCUUCGUUAAUAAAGAAGGAAAGAGGAACUGGCUUGUAUUGAAAAACAGCCCGGCUGGACUCCAUGAUGGUCGCUUAAAUCUUCG